AAAUUGAAGAGUUUGAUCAUGGCUCAGAUUGAACGCUGGCGGCAGGCCUAACACAUGCAAGUCGAACGGUAACAGGAAGCAGCUUGCUGCUUCGCUGACGAGUGGCGGACGGG
rnacentral:rRNA from 9 species